rnacentral:piRNA from 1 species
UGACAGAACGAUCAAGACAGAGAUGGAGGU